GAUGAACGCUAGCGGCAGGCUUAACACAUGCAAGUCGAGGGGUAGAGGAAGCUUGCUUCCUUGAGACCGGCGCACGGGUGCGUAACGCGUAUACAAUCUACCUUUUACAGAGGGAUAGCCCAGAGAAAUUUGGAUUAAUACCUCAUAGUAUUUUCGGAUCGCAUGAUUUGAUUAUUAAAGUUCCAACGGUAAAAGAUGAGUAUGCGGUCCCAUUAGCUAGAUGGUAAGGUAACGGCUUACCAUGGCAAUGAUGGGUAGGGGUCCUGAGAGGGAGAUCCCCCACACUGGGACUGAGACACGGACCAGACUCCUACGGGAGGCAGCAGUGAGGAAUAUUGGACAAUGGGCGCAGGCCUGAUCCAGCCAUGCCGCGUGCAGGAAUAAGGUCCUAUGGAUUGUAAACUGCUUUUAUACAGGAAGAAACACACCCUCGUGAGGGUACUUGACGGUACUGUAUGAAUAAGGACCGGCUAACUCCGUGCCAGCAGCCGCCGUAA
rnacentral:rRNA from 1 species